rnacentral:lncRNA from 1 species
AUGGGAUGUUCGAGAAGAAAGAUAGAGGCGUUUGAAAGGUUCCUGGGCUUGAUUUCUUAGUCAGAGGCUGUUUUACUUGGUGUUCAACAAGGAAAGCCAGAGUCUAGAUAUUAAAAGGUGAAUUAUUUUCAAAAAUUCAGUUGUAACAAAUAAUUUACUUGAAAUUAUUUCAGGAAAUGGAAGAUAAAGUAACUAGUCCAGAGAAAGCUGAAGAAGCAAAGUUAAAAGCAAGGUAUCCUCAUUUGGGACAAAAGCCUGGUGGUUCUGACUUUUUAAGGAAAAGAUUGCAGAAAGGGGUAAGUUGCCGAGUGUCGUCUUCACGCUCUCCCUGGGGGCUCAGUGUCCGGACAAACUGUGAGGGAAUGUCUGUCUUUAUUCCUGUAUUUCCAGGGACGUGUAUCUCUGUCAGUACUUUACAUGGUUCAUGUAUGAAAUGAAUAUGUAUGAAAAGAGGCAAUUGUUUUAAAUUAAAUUAUAAAGUAUUUCAAGUAUGUACCAUAGUACGGAUGAUAAUAUCAAAGAAUUCUUGCUUUGUCAUCUUUAUAAAAACAUAAAUGUAGAUAUAACUCAAACCUACCCACACAUUUUCUGUGUGAUCCCUUCCCCUCUUCUGUUCAAAAAGAACUACUGUCCAGAAACAGGUAUUUACCCUGCCACCCUUAGUAAAACUUGCCUGUUUGAAAGCAAGUCUCAUGAGACAUUCAGAGGCUUAUGAUCCUUUGUAUUU